CCGGGCUUAGCUCAGUUGGCUAGAGCGUUCGACUGAUACUCGAAAGGUCCAAGGUUCAAAUCCUUGAGCCCGGA
rnacentral:tRNA from 1 species